rnacentral:rRNA from 1 species
UACGAAGGGGGCAAGCGUUGUUCGGAAUUACUGGGCGUAAAGGGCGCGUAGGCGGCCGAUCAAGUCAGGCGUGAAAUUCCCGGGCUCAACCUGGGGGCUGCGCUUGAUACUGAUUGGCUUGAAUGCGGGAGAGGAUAGUGGAAUUCCCAGUGUAGAGGUGAAAUUCGUAGAUAUUGGGAAGAACACCGGUGGCGAAGGCGGCGACCUGGUCCGUGACUGACGCUGAGGCGCGAAAGCCAGGGGAGCGAACGGG